rnacentral:rRNA from 1 species
GACGAAGGGGGCUAGCGUUGUUUGGAAUUACUGGGCGUAAAGCGAGUGUAGGUGGUUGUCACAGUCAGGUGUGAAAGCCUUGAGCUCAACUCAAGAAAUGCACUUGAUACUAGGCGACUAGAGGACCGGAGAGGAUAGUGGAAUUCCCAGUGUAGUGGUGAAAUACGUAGAGAUUGGGAAGAACACCAGUGGCGAAGGCGGCUAUCUGGACGGUUUCUGACACUAAGACUCGAAAGCGUGGGGAGCAAACAGG